GGCAAGAUGGGAAAGGAUGGGUUAUUGAAAGAAUACACCCUUCUUUACAAGAAAUUAGAAUCCCGAUAAGAGAUUCCCAAGUCAUCACAUCUCCCUUCAAAAUUAAAUCAGAUCCUUAAGAAUCUGCCAAUGGCGGAGACAUUAGGAACAUUAUUGAGCAGAAUAACUUCACAAACCAAAACUUGAAAAUAUUAGGAGAUCAACUAAUUAGGAUAGAAGAAUUAAUUAAGGAAGAAAAAUAAGAAAUCCCUAAAC
rnacentral:lncRNA from 1 species